GUUCUUAGAGUUUAAAUGACCCUUUUCCAGACACGCUCACACACAAGAUGGAGACGGCUGGUGAGGAAAAGCGUUCACUUGUCCUUCCCUCUAGGAGCUUCCACAAGGCUGGAUAUCUGGUGGAUACUCACCCAAAAGGCCAGCAGCAAUAGAUCACGAGGCAAAGAGCAUCGCAGCGAGUACAAUGAUGGAGAGCACGAGAGGGGCGGAGUCAGUGACAAGUUGCUAUGACAGCAGAUGAUGGAGGAGUUACAAGGUGACACUGUGGAGUUUGCGGACGACCCAUUGGACGUCUUUCACUGCAGAUAAAGGAACACAAUUAAGAAAUAGUGAGUACUGCCGCGUGCAGAGUGUGACUCUUUCCCCAACCAGAACUGUGAUCUGAGCAUGUCAUGUGAUAGGCCUUGUCUAGAGCUACAGAAUGCAUCUCUUAGUUUUGAUAUUUAUUGCUUUUUAGAGAAGUUAUGACCUCCCAACGUAAGGCUGUAUAACUUAUGGUUUUUGUUGUUGAGCUACAACCUAUUCUAGUGUGCCUGUCCCUUUCUAAACUGAAUACUGGCAUGUAGGCGUUUAAAUGAUUGGUGCUGGCUGUCUUAGUACAGUGGAUUGCAGUGCACUUGCAACCUAACAGCAAAACCACAGUAAUAUUUUAUAUAUAAACCUGUAUCUGUAUAGGAUCUCUGGGAGCGUGGCUUAGUGGUUAGGGUGUGCCUUAGUGUUAGGGUGGUGGCUUGUAGAUCAUAUGAUAGAUAAGGCGUGGGUUCGAUUCCCUCUUGGGGGAUUUUUCUUCAUUUCUUUACAAAUCAAUAAGUAAUUUCCCUAACUUUUGAAUGCAUCAUACAUACUCCCCUGUCAAGUACAUAAUCAAGUUGGGGCGUCGCCCGGUUUCCGUGAAACAAACCGGUUUCUGUGAAACCGGGCGACGACCCAACUUUCCUUUUUUGAGUUUCUGUCUUUUUUUCUUCAGAAUAGAAUCAUUUUGUAUAAUCAGAAGUGACCGAAACAACUACACAUGUAUGCUAAAUAUAAUUUCCCUUUUCAGUUUUGGCCCGAUAAUAACCAAUCUAAAUUGUGGUUUUGCUGUUUGGUAAUUCUCUGUUGCAAGUGCACUACAAUCCACUGUAGUGGCCUCUAUUAUGUGUGGCUGUUUGGCUGGAAAGCGUCACACACAACACACACUAAUCCACAUCAGGUGAUGCCUCCUCAACUGAUGGUGACACUGUUUCUCACCUCUUAUAAUCUGACAACACACAUGAAAGUAGGAGAAAGAAAAUUCGUUUCAAGACUCUUAUAUAUAAUUAUGCAAAAUAAUUAUAAUAAUAAUUAUUAAAAAUUGUUAUUAUUAUCUACUGUCACGUUAAAUUUUUUA